UAAUCAGGGCCGGUUCAUCGUUAGAACCAUCGGACGCCUUAAGAUGCGCUUGGGAAACCGGGCCCUGAUAUCCAGUUUCCUCCUCUUCUUCAUUUUCCGAUGUGACAGUCACCUCCCCCCUCUUCUUCUUCUUCUUCUUCUUCUUCUUUCACUGAAACGUCGCCGUCCCCCUCUUUGACUAUGAACGAGUCUUCCUCUUCUUUAACUGAGACCUCUUUCUCUUCUUCUUUCACGGUAACAGCCUCAACCUCUACUUGUUUUUGUAUUGUAACAGCCUCCUCUUCCACGAGAGCGUCUUUCUCCAUCCAGCAGGCAGACCACCUCUUCUUCAUAAUCAGGAACGGGGUUAAGUUUGAGACUGGAGCUAUGAGGCAUGUACUGAAGUCGCUAAGCGGUAUAAUUCAAAGUAGUGUCCCUUUAUCAGCAGCACGUGAUCAAUGACGUCUGAUGAAUCAUUUCGUCGAACACCUGAUUGGUUUUGAUUAAUUUGGGCUCGUUCGACAUUGCAGCCGACAGUGCAGGUGGCUGCUGACUGCUGACUGACUGAUUUACAAAUCACCUUGCAUCAUAAAUAACUACCCAUUAUUAUUUAUAAAUCAGUCAGCCAGUCACCGUUUACCCACAAUGCAGCAUAGACUUGAUGCUCUCGAUCAAGGCCCGUGGUUUCGUAGAAGACAUGAAGGCUACGCUGCUACGGUGGGGGACGUCAUCUUUCAAAAUGUGGCUUUUCUAAAUUCUGUGUCGCUCAAAGCCUUGACCUUCCUCUCCUCUGAAGACCCAGUAAGGGUGGAGCUCAGUCAGAGAGCUGUUGAGGGACUGGUUAGGAAGAACACUUCUACAGCCAGAGAGGGGCAGUCAAGAAAUGGACUGUGGGAGACCACCUCAAGUCCCUGGUAGAGCAGGGGGUGGUGUUUACCUCUCCACCACACCUUCAGCAGGCUGGAAAAUUAACCCUGAUAUUUUAAAAGCAGGGCAACAACGUCAAUAUAAUUGUACCCAAAAAUUGUCAGUUGGUUGCAUAAAUAAUUAUGAUUACUAAAUGUUACAUGAAAUGUAAAUAUUAAAUAUUCGGUUACAGUCUCAUUUUCAACGUCUUUUCAAUGACAUUUUGCUAGGUGUGAUAUCCCCAAUGUCAAAACACACUUUUAAUGUCUCCAAAUCAAUAACCAAUAUGCAGAAACAGUUUGGGAUAAAUUGAAAACCUAAACAUAAAAUGUGCUAUAUAGACAAACAUCUGCCACAAUAAUAAUAUUUCUUGUAAUUUUUAAAACAAGCUCCUUAUGAACUCCACAAGCACCAAAAACACUGUUUUGACAAGAAGCAAUAAAUCACUGAUAUCGAUUAGAGGGGAAAUUAGGUUGUACGUGCUGUUGAAACUAACACAACUUAAACAAACACAUGGAAAUGGGAGAUAUAUUUCACCUCACUGGUUAGAGGACAACCUGCAGAAGACAGUCAGCUACAUGUUGGAGUGAGGCAUUUAAAUGUAGGAGUCACUAAACAAAGGAACACAACACUUAUUUGUUAUAACUCAUCGAUAUCAUUCUAAAAUCAUUUGUGGAAGAGGAGAGAGAUGGGGUUGCAUGUCCUGUUAAAGCUAACAGCUCAAAAACCACAAGGAAUCUGGGAGUAAUGUGUACAUCCUUGGUUAGAGGACAACUUGCAGAAAACAGCCUGAUACAUUUUGAAGUGUUGCAUUUUGAUUCAAGUGGAUCACGAACGUGGUAAGUGUAACAAAACAAUUUUUUUGUUAAUCAAUUUUUGUUAAAUAAUACUCUUCCAUUUCAGAGCCUGGAUUUCCCCCCCGAGGCUAAUAUCCAUAUCAUGUUGAAAUCAAUAGAACAGAGGACAAACAUUUAGGGUUCUACAUUGUGACAUCAUUAAAAUACUCCUACUACAAUGUUAAAACAUUCUACAUUGUGACAUUUUUUCAUUGAUAUCAUGAAAUAACUCAUUCAUGUAUGUAUUUUCUGAUGUUUGAUCAGAGAUCUUUUAUUAAAGUAUCUCUUGGCACACUGAUCACAGCAAUACGAUUUCUCUCCUGUGUGUGCUCUAUGGUGUGAUACCAGAUGGCCAGAUUGACCAAAACUCUUCCCACAUUAUUCACAGACAAAGGAUUUCUCUCUUGUGUGUAUUCUCUGGUGUUGAGUCAGAGUUCUUGAUGCAGCAAAACUGUUCCCACAUUGACUACAGCUAUAAGGUCUCUCUCUCCUGUGUGUGUUCUCUGGUGCACUCUCAGAUCUCCAGAUUGACGAAAACUCUUCCCACAUUGACCACAGCUAUAAGGUUUCUCUCCUGUGUGUAUUCUCUGGUGCACUGUCAGCGCUCCAGAUUGGGCAAAACUCUUCCC